AGAGUUUGAUCCUGGCUCAGGAUGAACGCUAGCGGCAGGCCUAACACAUGCAAGUCGAGGGGUAGGGCAGCAAUACCUGAGACCGGCGCACGGGUGCGUAACGCGUAUGCAAUCUACCUUAUACAGGGGAAUAGCCCAGAGAAAUUUGGAUUAAUGCCCCAUAGUGUUAUCGAGUCGCAUGGUUUGAUAACUAAAGUUCCAACGGUAUAAGAUGAGCAUGCGUCCCAUUAGUUAGUUGGUAAGGUAACGGCUUACCAAGACAAUGAUGGGUAGGGGUCCUGAGAGGGAGAUCCCCCACACUGGUACUGAGACACGGACCAGACUCCUACGGGAGGCAGCAGUGAGGAAUAUUGGUCAAUGGGCGCAAGCCUGAACCAGCCAUGCCGCGUGCAGGAAGACGGUCCUAUGGAUUGUAAACUGCUUUUAUACAGGAAGAAACCCUCCCACGUGUGGGAGCUUGACGGUACUGUAGGAAUAAGGAUCGGCUAACUCCGUGCCAGCAGCCGCGGUAAUACGGAGGAUCCAAGCGUUAUCCGGAAUCAUUGGGUUUAAAGGGUCCGUAGGCGGUUUUAUAAGUCAGUGGUGAAAUCUCCUAGCUCAACUAGGAAACUGCCAUUGAUACUGUAAGACUUGAAUUUUUGUGAAGUAACUAGAAUAUGUAGUGUAGCGGUGAAAUGCUUAGAUAUUACAUGGAAUACCAAUUGCGGAGGCAGGUUACUAACAAACGAUUGACGCUGAUGGACGAAAGCGUGGGGAGCGAACAGGAUUAGAUACCCUGGUAGUCCACGCCGUAAACGAUGGAUACUAGCUGUUCGGAGCAAUCUGAGUGGCUAAGCGAAAGUGAUAAGUAUCCCACCUGGGGAGUACGCACGCAAGUGUGAAACUCAAGGAAUUGACGGGGGCCC
rnacentral:rRNA from 1 species